AGAGUUUGAUCAUGGCUCAGNNNNAACGCUGGCGGCAGGCCUAACACAUGCAAGUCGAACGGGCCCUUUCGGGGGUCAGUGGCAGACGGGUGAGUAACGCGUGGGAACGUGCCCAUCGGUUCGGGAUAACCCAGGGAAACUUGGGCUAAUACCGGAUACGCCCUUUUGGGGAAAGAUUCAUUGCCGAUGGAUCGGCCCGCGUCUGAUUAGCUUGUUGGUGAGGUAACGGCUCACCAAGGCGACGAUCAGUAGCUGGUCUGAGAGGAUGAUCAGCCACACUGGGACUGAGACACGGCCCAGACUCCUACGGGAGGCAGCAGUGGGGAAUAUUGGACAAUGGGCGCAAGCCUGAUCCAGCCAUGCCGCGUGAGUGAUGAAGGCCCUAGGGUUGUAAAGCUCCUUCACCCACGACGAUAAUGACGGUAGUGGGAGAAGAAGCCCCGGCUAACUUCGUGCCAGCAGCCGCGGUAAUACGAAGGGGGCUAGCGUUGCUCGGAAUCACUGGGCGUAAAGGGCGCGUAGGCGGCCGAUCAAGUCAGGGGUGAAAGCCUGUGGCUCAACCACAGAAUUGCCUUUGAUACUGUUCGGCUCGAGACCGGAAGAGGUUGGUGGAACUGCGAGUGUAGAGGUGAAAUUCGUAGAUAUUCGCAAGAACACCAGUGGCGAAGGCGGCCAACUGGUCCGGUUCUGACGCUGAGGCGCGAAAGCGUGGGGAGCAAACAGGAUUAGAUACCCUAGUAGUCC
rnacentral:rRNA from 1 species